UACGUAGGGGGCAAGCGUUGUCCGGAAUCAUUGGGCGUAAAGCGCGCGUAGGCGGCCUCGUAAGUCCGCUGUGAAAGUCAAAGGCUCAACCUUUGAAUGCCGGUGGAUACUGCGAGGCUAGAGUCCGGAAGAGGCGAGUGGAACUCCUGGUGUAGCGGUGGAAUGCGCAGAUAUCAGGAAGAACACCCGUGGCGAAGGCGGCUCUCUGGGACGGUACUGACGCUGAGACGCGAAAGCGUGGGGAGCGAACAGG
rnacentral:rRNA from 1 species